AUGGGGCUUAGUGGGUACCAAAAGAUAUCGACUGCAAUGCGGGUGAUCGCCUAUGGCAUACCCGCGGACUAUACCGACGAGUAUCUUCGCAUUGGACAAGAUACAACCACGACAUCCGCCCGUAGGUUUGCAAAAUUGGUCAUCCGGUUGUAUGGUGAUGAGUAUCUUCGGGCACCCAACGAGGAAGAUACAAAGAGAUUGAUGGAGAAGAAUGAAAAAAGGGGAUGGCCAGGGAUGCUUGGUAGUCUUGAUUGCAUGCAUUGGACAUGGAAAAAUUGCCCUAAAGCAUGGCAAGGAAUGAAUUGCGGUAAAAGUCGUGAUGCUACCAUUGUGCUUGAGACCGUGGCAUCGAAGGACACAUGGAUCUGGCAUGCAUUUUUUGGUUUGCCGGGAACACUCAAUGAUAUCAAUGUGCUCAAUAGAUCUCCUUAG
rnacentral:rRNA from 1 species